UCUGCUGGUUCGGUGCCAGUGCUGUGACAUACGCUGAGUUCUUGCACCUCAGCUGCAACGCCACCGAGCCGGACGCAAGCCUGUGUACUCCAUCACACACUCGAUGACACGAAUGCGUGCCUGCCAAGGCCAUCUUCCUUAGCUCCAUGUGGAAUACAUUGACCCUUUACUUGUCUAUCAGAGGGAAAGGAAGCAUGAUGUUAUUUUUCAUAUGGUAAAUAUCGCUUGAUUAGGUAUAGACACAAUACGAUUGUGUUGGCAGUGGCACAAAGUCUCUCAUGUACAAAAAUACAGCGACCAUAUGGUUUGGUUCGAAGCUGAAGGCAAGAUGCAUUGGUUUUGUUUUUAUGUCGGAUUGGUUGGAAGCAUGAUGGAUGGAUUAAAUAUAUAUAUAAUAAAUUUGAUGUGGAUGUGGUUUGGACAUCA